rnacentral:rRNA from 1 species
CGAACGAGUUCUCGUUGAAUCUCGGUGCUUGCACCGAGAUUCAACAUGGAACGAGUGGCGGACGGGUGAGUAACACGUGGGUAACCUGCCCUUAAGUGGGGGAUAACAUUUGGAAACAGAUGCUAAUACCGCAUAGAUCCAAGAACCGCAUGGUUCUUGGCUGAAAGAUGGCGUAAGCUAUCGCUUUUGGAUGGACCCGCGGCGUAUUAGCUAGUUGGUGAGGUAAUGGCUCACCAAGGCGAUGAUACGUAGCCGAACUGAGAGGUUGAUCGGCCACAUUGGGACUGAGACACGGCCCAAACUCCUACGGGAGGCAGCAGUAGGGAAUCUUCCACAAUGGACGCAAGUCUGAUGGAGCAACGCCGCGUGAGUGAAGAAGGCUUUCGGGUCGUAAAGCUCUGUUGUUGGAGAAGAAUGGUCGGUAGAGUAACUGUUGUCGGCGUGACGGUAUCCAACCAGAAAGCCACGGCUAACUACGUGCCAGCAGCCGCGGUAAUACGUAGGUGGCAAGCGUUAUCCGGAUUUAUUGGGCGUAAAGCGAGCGCAGGCGGUUUUUUAAGUCUGAUGUGAAAGCCCUCGGCUUAACCGAGGAAGCGCAUCGGAAACUGGGAAACUUGAGUGCAGAAGAGGACAGUGGAACUCCAUGUGUAGCGGUGAAAUGCGUAGAUAUAUGGAAGAACACCAGUGGCGAAGGCGGCUGUCUGGUCUGUAACUGACGCUGAGGCUCGAAAGCAUGGGUAGCGAACAGGAUUAGAUACCCUGGUAGUCCAUGCCGUAAACGAUGAAUGCUAGGUGUUGGAGGGUUUCCGCCCUUCAGUGCCGCAGCUAACGCAUUAAGCAUUCCGCCUGGGGAGUACGACCGCA